AUGUUCCUGUUAAAGGCUGUUCUUUCUACUUUAAACUUUGAAGAAAAGGAAACUAAAACUCAGAGAGACGUGACCUGCUUCCAGUUAUACCACAAAGUAGAAUCAGAUAAAAUCAUGAGCUGUGUCCCUCUCUGCAUUGAACUCAGCACACAUUUUACUGAGCACCAACCAAAUUCUUGCUGGAGAAGUAAAGAUGGGAGCAUCCCAAGGAGCACAGUGAUGGUGUCAGUUCCCUGCAGCUCUUCAAAUCCCAUCUCUUUACUUAGAGAUAUCCUGCAUUGUACCCCAACACCUCGCUGGGACCUGGUGCAGAAGCAGCACACAGUGAAGAGCUAGCAGGUCAACAGAAAAAUGAGCAACUAUUCAAGACCUCCGGAGUUUUUCUCUUAUGAGAAGGGCUUUCAAAGCUUGUUUCAACUACUCCACAACUACCCUUAUCUGCUAGUCCCUCCCACUCUCCACGUGUACCUGAUGUUUCCUGUACUUCCCCUCCGUGUGCUUGUAGUUUCUACAGCACUGCUUUUCCUGCCCCAGAUUCUUUGUCUAUCAAAACACUCAAUCUUCAACGUCAGUCUGAAAGUAACUCUGCAAUAUCUUCCUUGAAUUCUUCAUAGAAUAUUAAAUAUCCUUUCUUCUGUUUUACCACAGCAUCCUGUGCUCAGUGCUAUUGUUUGCCAGGGCUGAGAUCCUGGGUUAUUUAUCUCUGCAUCCCCCAAGAGGGCUCUGCUUGUAGGUAGUACUCAAAUAACAUUGAGUGAAUAAAUUAAAAGAUCAAAAGGUUUCCAUCAUGAGAUGCUGAGCUCCUUGACAGCAGGAACCCUCUAUUAACCACUCUGUCACACAUAGUAGGUACUAAACUAUGAGUUGAACCAAAUGCCUUCCUUUCCCAGAGAUGAUGUAAACAC
rnacentral:lncRNA from 1 species